CGCCGCGGUCACACAAGAGGCCCAAAUUAACAGUAAUACGGCGUAAAGAGUGGUAUCAUGCUAUCCCAACAACUAAGAUCAAAAUACAACUAAGCUGUCAUAAGCCCAAGAUGUACCUAAAGACGCCCUCAAGACGAUCUUAGCACCCCCGACUGAUUAAACUCCACGAAAGCUAGGGCA
rnacentral:rRNA from 1 species